GUGGGGAAUAUUGGGCAAUGGGCGCAAGCCUGACCCAGCAACGCCGCGUGAAGGAAGAAGGCUUUCGGGUUGUAAACUUCUUUUACCAGGGACGAAACAAAUGACGGUACCUGGUGAAUAAGCCACGGCUAACUACGUGCCAGCAGCCGCGGUAAUACGUAGGUGGCGAGCGUUAUCCGGAUUUAUUGGGUGUAAAGGGCGUGUAGGCGGGACAGCAAGUCAGAUGUGAAAACCAGAGGCUCAACCUCUGGCCUGCAUUUGAAACUGUUGUUCUUGAGUGUCGGAGAGGUAAUCGGAAUUCCGUGUGUAGCGGUGAAAUGCGUAGAUAUACGGAGGAACACCAGUGGCGAAGGCGGAUUACUGGACGAUAACUGACGCUGAGGCGCGAAAGCGUGGGGAGCGAACGGGAUUAGAAACCCGGGUAGUCC
rnacentral:rRNA from 1 species